CUUCCCAACUGCCUCAUGAGGACAUCCACGGCAAUGGGGAUUCACUCAGGCUGCUGAUGAACUCACUGGGCAGGAAGCCUCAAUAUAAGUGACAAGUAGGUCUUAGUGUUGCUCUUGACAAGGCUUCUGGCUGCCCAGG
ensembl:misc_RNA